rnacentral:rRNA from 1 species
CACGUAGGGGGCGAGCGUUGUCCGGAUUUAUUGGGCGUAAAGAGCUCGUAGGCGGUUCGGCAAGUCGGGUGUGAAAUUUCGAGGCUCAACCUCGAAACGCCACUCGAUACUGCUGUGACUGGAGUCCGGUAGAGGAGUGCGGAAUUCCUGGUGUAGCGGUGAAAUGCGCAGAUAUCAGGAGGAACACCAGUGGCGAAGGCGGUGCUCUGGGCCGGAACUGACGCUGAGGAGCGAAAGCGUGGGGAGCAAACAGG